GCGGGAAUACAAUAAAUAACUUGAAUGUAAAUAAAAGUAAUUAAAGAACUCAGGAAUUAUGAAUUGAAGAACCUGGAGAACGAUGAAGAACGAACCAGAUGCUGCAAAAGUAUAAUGUUGAGGAAGAUCCGACAGAUCCGGCUCCUCCUCCGCUCUCCUCUUCUCUCUCCCUAUUUUCUAGAUUACAACUAGAACUAACUAGAACUAGAACUAGAGGAACUAGAACUAGAACUAGAUGAACUAGAACUAGAUCUAGAUGAAGUAGAGGUAGAACUAGAAGAACUAGAGGGAUCCUCUCUACUUGGAUGAAGAAUUGAAACCCUAGCUUUGAUUCUGUAGAAGAGGUAUGAUCUCCAGGGGCCAGGGGGUCUGGUUUUAUAGUCCCUUCAAGUGAAUCUGGGCCGUCGGAUUAAACCGACAUUGAUCGCACGGUUUUCCUUGGUCCCUUAGGUCGGUGGAGCACGAUCCGUGAAGUUGAAGCUGAUUGGUUACUGUAGCUGGGCGGGCGCCUUGCCCCCGGGCCCGAUCGGCCUCCCGUUCGUUCCCAUGGCUUCUGGAGUCUUCUAAAUGGUAGAAAAUUGUGUGGUACGUUAAUAUCUCUAUGUAAACCCGACGUGUGGGCCUUUCUUUCGUAUUUCCUGAUAACCCCCUGUAGAAAUAGACAAACACCAAAACUUGUGGAAUUCUGUCAGAUAAAACCCUAAGUCUAGGUGUUGGUUGCAUUUGGAUCUUUUUUAUGAUUAGUUGAUGGUUAAAUAUGAGCAUUAAGGACCAUCAACAAGCUCCCCCAAGCUUAACCUUUGCUCGUCCCUGAGCAAAGAUGAUCUCAAGAGUUUCUGCAGUGGUUUCAUAACUUAAAGAUACACAUGCGUUUAAACAAGAUCUUAUCUCUGCUUAGAGUAAAAUGUUAAGACUUAAAACUUACUCAUUUACCUUUCACCAUGGGACUUGUAACCGUCACUUCUGUCUUGAGUAGUUAAAAGAUAGAACAGUCUAGUCAAGCGCCAUGUCUCUUGUUCUUCGAUUAACUAUAGCUCUGAAGUUUUUUCAGAUUUUCAAAUUAAACUCAGAGAUUCCUUGUAUGACUCUCUCUAGUCUCUCUUAUGUGGUAUUUCUGGAUCCUUACCACGGCAGUAAUGGUAUAUGCCUUCUCUCAAAGUAUGUGGUAUUUGUGGUAUAAGGCAUAGUGGCAUUGCCUUCUCUCUCACCCUACUCUAAUAAGGUUUUGAUAUCUGGAGCUCAUAGGUGGGAGACAGCUAAUACAUACUUACAAGACAUUUAUUGCAUAGUCAAACCAUGGAUCCAGAAGAACAAGUCAAUAAGUCAAAUCAAGAUGUGCAUGUGUGGCGAAUAAAUGAUGUAUGGUGAUGAUGGUGAUAACGAUGGUGAAAGUCUAAUUCUACUUAUGCUCUUUUGAGGGGAUACAUACCUUUCUUGCUCUUUUGAAACUUUUUGAGGACAAUGAGAUGCUCUAUAUUUUCUUUUUCUUUCCUCUCAUGUGGGUAUCUUGUACCCCUAAUUCUACUGUCGGACACUUGUCCAUUUUUACCUCUCGUCUCACUUUUUUCUUUUCUUUUUUUUCUUUUCUUUCGAGGUUCCGGGCACUUGCCCCUUUUUAUUUCCUCGUAUUUAUUUUAUAUAUAUUUUUUUCUCUCUUUUUUUUAUAUUAGAGCACUCAUCUCCUGAAAUAAUAUAGCAAGUGGUAGUAACCAAGAUAACUUGAGCAUUUAUUUCACAGGGGAAAAACAGAAAUGUUUUUGGCUAUUCUCUCCCGGAUUAGGAGUAGAAUAUUUUUGGGUGGUUCUGGAGAUGGAAAUGGGUGGAUAUAUGUGGAUGCGUACUUCCGGAGUAGAAGCAGCAUGUGUGAGUGAACGUGCAAGUGAAUCUUGACUUAACCACAUGACAAGCUCCUAAGGGUCUACACAGCUUAACCACACUCAAUGCUCAUAAGUAGUAAAAAGUAAAUGCGUGGCUCAAAAUCUAGCAAGCAUGUAUAUAUGGCUGUGGUAGGAUUUUAAACUCUCAUCAUACAGGAACUCAUCAUGCAACAUUUUAAAGAUUUUCAAAGAUAAAAUUCUCCAGAUUUGUAGCAUCUCUAGGAACAGAUAAACAGCAGCUCAAACUUCCCAUAUCAUAUCCGUUAACGACUUAGACUUCAGAUCAAGUACUAUUCCCACAAGUUCAGGUUUAGAGCAAAUCUUAAUUAAUAACAGUCAUGCCUAAACUUGAGAGAGAUUUCAAUUUUGAGAACUAGUCAUGGCAGAGCAACUAUUCAUCAUUUCCAUGUGAGAGCUUAUCAUGAGGGUUCAUAGCAAACUUUAUUUAUUUAUUUAUCAAACUAAUCAAAGAUAUAUAUAUAUAAGCAUAUUAGAGUAAAGUAUAAACGUGAGUAGAAUACUUAGCUGGAUAAAUGGGGUUGCUCUCCCCCAAGCUGGAUUUUGACGUAAUUCCAUUUGAUGUAGCAGGUGGCAGAGGUGUACUUGAAUGUCGACAGCACCCUGACAGUGAUUAGGAUGUCCUCCGUCUGCUAGUCUUCUUUGAUCCUUGAAUUCUGUGGAGCUCAAAUAGACAACAAAGCUUUGUGGAACUGGUUAAGUGUUAGCAUAAAUAUCUAGCCUUUAUCAUGUUGAGCCUCCUCAAUAAAUGUUACUCUCUUUAGUAGGAUCAUAAAUUUAUUUUUAUAAUUUUAUUUUUAUAGGACAGGAAUAUAUUUAUUUUGUUUUUACGCCACCAUAGUGAAUGUACUUAUGGGUUUUAUGCCAUGAGCAUACUCACAUGGGGCUUACAAUUUUUAACAUUUUUAUUUUCUUUUUGAGAUGAUAUGAAACUGAUUAACUAAGCAAACUAUUUUAAAUAAUUGAGGAAAAAGAUAACUACCAAGUUUACCUCUUGGCAAGGCGUUCGGUGUUUUUAAGUCUUCCGAACGGGACUCUCCAUUCUCUCAGUCGUCCUGGGAUUCGCUGGAUUGCGUAGUCGGUGGUUCCGGCGGCGCCUGCUCUUCGUGUAUAGUUAUCUUCUCUCUACACACCUGACUCGGUGCUACGGUCUCCUGAGGACAGUUCUGUUCAAGCUUUAUAUCUUCAGACCUUACAACUUCUCCAUCAUAGUCUACCCAUCCGUCCUUGAUAAUUUUGCCUUCUCUGGUUGCGGUUGCGUCGUCUUCUUCUUGUCCUGACCUGCUUAGAGUCUUCAACUAUAUGGUUAGGGUCAGUAAAAUAGCGGCGUACCUUCUCAGAGGGGAAGUGCAUGUGGACUUCUCCGGUUCCAAUGUAGAUGAUUGCUUUAACGGUGUUGAGGAACGGUCUUCCAAGGAUGACGGAUUGUACUCGUCUUCUCCCAUGACAAUAACCUUCAAAUCAUCUGGAGCUGAAUGUAUUUUGGUUGUAGGGGCAUGGUUCUAAACAGGAGCUGAUAGGUGACUGCGGCCAUUGACAUCAGAUCUGGUGUCGUAGAGUGUCUUAUGAAAAGAAUAUCCGUUGAUUGUGCACUCGAUGCUUGGAACACCAGGGUCGUCCUUCUUGAACAAGAAAGGCGACUUGAGUUGACGAUCUUGACCUCCUUGAGCUGCAGUGACCAUCUUAGCUGACUCGGUACACAUUUGCUUGUUCUUGUUCCUCCUGUUGGUCCUCUUCCUUGGUUCAUGUCGGGAUUGCUCUGAGAUUUGUGUAGUCUUGUUCUUGAAGAAAAACGUCUCCUUCCUCCCCUUGAUGUAGAAACUGAUCUCGGCAGCACUAACGUAGAUGACACCUCCCGAGGUGUUUAGGAAUCGCCUCCCUAGAAUGAUGGGUAUAAUAUUGACGUUGGAGCCAAAGUCGCAGAGUGCUUCUAGGAAGUCCACCAUGCCGAUGGAGAUCGGGAUGACGGGACGUCCUGAAUUGUAUCUCUUGACCGGCAGAAGGUCAGUAAUUACUUCCACAACGGGGUUACUCCAGUAGUUAUGUCCUCAAGCAUCUCAGGGCAGUGAUUGCCUGAGUGUCCAGUCUCUCCAGUGUGUUUGUGCUCGUAGAUCUAGGUUCUUCACUUGGUGGAGUCUGGGAGUUGUAAAAGUCCUUCAUAUGCUGCUCGAAGUGUACCUGCUCAUAGAGACAGGGCAGAGAUCAAGUGCAUGGGCCCUGUUGGUGGAAAACACCAACAGAACCAAAAGUGUAUUUGUUCUUCUCUAACCUUAAGCAUAGUGAGCAAGACAAAGUUGAUGGAUAAUAAGAUCAUGAGUAUAACAUUUAAAACAUUUGUCAGAUCAAAUCGCUCAACCUAAUGGAAAGAUAAUCUAUCUAUAUUUAUGUUUUGUUUAUAUCUUCCAAAGAUUGAGUGUGCAACAUUUUAGCUAAUAUGAUUAGGAGUGUGGAAUCACAAAGGUGGAAGGACUAAACAUGUUGAAUCGAUUGGGUUGGUUAAUCUAGAGUUGUAGAUCAUACAUGUUUGUCUCUUUUAUUCAUGUGAACGCCAGAACCAAGGAGAAGCUUAUAGAAGUGAUAGUCAAGUACCUUAAGAUGUUACCUUACUUGAAGAGUGAUGGUACAGUAUCACCUUAUGGAAGCUUUCCUUUCUUAGUGGUUGUGCAUCGUGUUUGUGGCACCCUCCAUGGAUCAUCUCUUGUGAGCUAUGCCUUGUGUAAAUUGUUAAACUUCAUGUGCCUCUCUCUUUGUCUCCAAUGUGAGUUUAUCUCAGGACUUCCCAGGUCGAUAUUGAAAGUUUUCCUGUAGGGGUUAGUCCAACAAAAUAUACCAAUGUCUACACAAGCAGUUUUUAGUUCAAUAACCAAACUAGACUCCAUGUCUAAGUAGAUUAAGGAAGGCUAUUUAACCUAAGCACCAUGCUUAAUUUAAAAACCAAUAGAAGUAUGUACAGUACUUCCAAACUAACACUUACUAGGAUAAACAAAGGUAGCGUGAUGGCUUUUAUAGAGAUCUACUCAAGUGGAGAUGAAGUAGUGUGAUUACUAUUUAACAAAUUGAGCAUGUCUCAAAGGUAGGGACAACCAACAUAGCAACAUGGCAAAUGAUGUUUUUAUAUAAAGUACUCCCCCAAGCUUGAAUUUUGCAAAAUUCAAGUUUGGAUGAAUUUAAUUCAAUGUUGUAUGAUGAUUGGUUGUACAUACCUUGUGCUUGUCAUUCAUCCGAACUUCUUGCUCCAAUCCUAGAAAGGUUAGUGACAAGAAUACCCGAAGGAAUUUUUUUAAAAAUUAUCCUUAUAUGCUUAAUACACAAGGUAAUGUUGCAAAUAAUUAAAAGCUCAUGUUACGAUCUGAUCAGUGCUUAUUUUAGGACAAUAAGCUUGUCCUUGGGAAACCAUCAAUUUAUGUCGGCGAAGUGGUUUCCCCUCCAACGCUGACCUAUAUCAAGAUCAACUCAACGAGAUCUGCAAUAUUUAAUAAAGACAUAUGCAUCGACAACCGCCCUUUUAAAGUUUUUAUAAAUAGAAAGGAUGAGGGGGUUGGAGAUCUCGAAUGUGGUGAUGUUGGAGAGACCAAUGGAUUGUGAAGAUGUUGCAUAUGAGCAUGGAGUAAAUGAAGUGGCUAUGAAAUAAAUUCCAUGCUCAUUAAUGCUUAGAGUGAAAUCGAUGUGGUACGGUGAAAAUGAUAAGGUGAGUGUGGUAAAAAAGGAAAAGAAAAAGGAUACACGGACAACUUGGUUCGAAACUAGCACAGCUACCGUUCCCCGGCAACGGCGCCAGAAAGCUUGUUGGGUAUUUUAAACGCAAACAGAAAAAUCCGCAAGCGCACGGAUACCGAUGUAGCCUUCACCCGGGAGUAUUCCAGAGUAUCGAUUUUCCACAGGGAACGUGAGUGUACUAAUUAAGAUCCAAGAUCGCCCAAGGAUAACUAUAUGAAUAUUUUUGGUGGGAAGAGAGGAAGUUUCCUGAGAGUUCUCUAGUUGAUCUAAGAAUCAAGAAUUACUUCAAGAUUGUCUAUAUAGGGACAUCAGAGCACUAACCACAGAAAGAGAUGAUAAGGGGGCUAGGAAGGUCUGACUACGGUCCUACAAACACCGAUCCGAACGUGGUGGAAUACGUCGACCGUUAGGGCUGUCACUACCCUAAGGCUACCACAACAAUCCACAGGAUUGGGUGCAAUUCCAGGUAAUCGCAAGACUAAACACCACGUCUAAUCUAUUAAUUACUACUCUAGCGUUAUAAAGACUAGAGCACUUGAUGCAAGCAGGAAUCCAAUAAAUAACUUGAAUGUAAAUAAAAGUAAUUAAAGAACUCAGGAAUUAUGAAUUGAAGAACCUGGAGAACGAUGAAGAACGAACCAGAUGCUGCAAAAGUAUAAUGUUGAGGAAGAUCCGACACAUCCGGCUCCUCCUCCGCUCUCCUCUUCUCUCUCCCUAUUUUCUAGAUUACAACUAGAACUAACUAGAACUAGAACUAGAGGAACUAGAACUAGAACUAGAUGAACUAGAACUAGAUCUAGUUGAACUAGAGGUAGAACUAGAAGAACUAGAGGGAUCCUCUCUACUUGGAUGAAGAAUUGAAACCCUAGCUUUGAUUCUGUAGAAGAGGUAUGAUCUCCAGGGGCCAGGGGGUCUGGUUUUAUAGUCCCUUCAAGUGAAUCUGGGCCGUCGGAUUAAACCGACAUUGAUCGCACGGUUUUCCUUGGUCCCUUAGGUCGGUGGAGCACGAUCCGCGAAGUUGAAGCUGAUUGGUUACUGUAGCUGGGCGGGCGCCUUGCCCCCGGGCCCGAUCGGCCUCCCGUUCGUUCCCGUGGCUUCUGGAGUCUUCUAAAUGGUAGAAACUUGUGUGGUACGUUAAUAUCUCUAUGUAAACCCAACGUGUGGGCCUUUCUUUCGUAUUUCCUGAUAACCCCCUGCAGAAAUAGACAAACACCAAAACUUGUGGAAUUCUGUCAGAUAAAACCCUAAGUCUAGGUGUUGGUUGCAUUUGGAUCUUUUUUUAUGAUUAGUUGAUGGUUAAAUAUGAGCAUUAAGGACCGUCAACAAGCUCCCCCAAGCUUAACCUUUGCUCGUCCCUGAGCAAAGAUGAACUCAAGAGUUUCUGCAGUGGUUUCAUAACUUAAAGAUACACAUGCGUUUAAACAAGAUCUUAUCUCUGGUUAGAGUAAACUGUUAAGACUUAAAACUUACUCAUUUACCUUUCACCAUGGGACUUGUAACCGUCACUUCUGUCUUGAGUAGUUAAAAGAUAGAACAGUCUAGUCAAGCGCCAUGUCUCUUGUUCUUCGAUUAACUAUAGCUCUGAAGUUUUUUCAGAUUUUCAAAUUAAACUCAGAGAUUCCUUGUAUGACUCUCUCUAGUCUCUCUUAUGUGGUAUUUCUGGAUCCUUACCAAGGCAGUAAUGGUAUAUGCCUUCUCUCAAAGUAUGUGGUAUUUGUGGUAUAAGGCAUAGUGGCAUUGCCUUCUCUCUCAACCUACUCUAAUAAGGUUUUGAUAUCUGGAGCUCAUAGGUGGGAGACAGCUAAUACAUACUUACAAGACAUUUAUUGCAUAGUCAAACCAUGGAUCCAGAAGAACAAGUCAAUAAGUCAAAUCAAGAUGUGCAUGUGUGGCGAAUAAAUGAUGUAUGGUGAUGAUGGUGAUAACGAUGGUGAAAGUCUAAUUCUACUUAUGCUCUUUUGAGGGGAUACAUACCUUUCUUGCUCUUUUGAAACUUUUUGAGGAGAAUGAGAUGCUCUAUAUUUUCUUUUUCUUUCCUCUCAGGUGGGUAUCUUGUACCCCUAAUUCUACUGUCGGACACUUGUCCAUUUUUACCUCUCGUCUCACUUUUUUCUUUUCUUUUUUUUCUUUUCUUUCGAGGUUCCGGGCACUUGCCCCUUUUUAUUUCCUCGUAUUUAUUUUAUAUAUAUUUUUUCUCUCUUUUUUUUAUAUUAGAGCACUCAUCUCCUGAAAUAAUAUAGCAAGUGGUAGUAACCAAGAUAACUUGAGCAUUUAUUUCACAGGGGAAAAACAGAAAUGUUUUUGGCUAUUCUCUCCCGGAUUAGGAGUAGAAUAUUUUUGGGUGGUUCUGGAGAUGGAAAUGGGUGGAUAUAUGUGGAUGCGUACUUCCGGAGUAGAAGCAGCAUGUGUGAGUGAACGUGCAAGUGAAUCUUGACUUAACCACAUGACAAGCUCCUAAGGGUCUACACAGCUUGACCACACUCAAUGCUCAUAAGCAGUAAAAAGUAAAUGCGUGGCUCAAAAUCUAGCAAGCAUGUAUAUAUGGCUGUGGUAGGAUUUUAAACUCUCAUCAUACAGGAACUCAUCAUGCAACAUUUUAAAGAUUUUCAAAGAUAAAAUUCUCCAGAUUUGUAGCAUCUCUAGGAACAGAUAAACAGCAGCUCAACCUUCCCAUAUCAUAUCCGUUAACGACUUAGACUUCAGAUCAAGUACUAUUCCCACAAGUUCAGGUUUAGAGCAAAUCUUAAUUAAUAACAGUCAUGCCUAAACUUGAGAGAGAUUUCAAUUUUGAGAACUAGUCAUGGCAGAGCAACUAUUCAUCAUUUCCAUGUGAGAGCUUAUCAUGAGGGUUCAUAGCAAACUUUAUUUAUUUAUUUAUCAAACUAAUCAAAGAUAUAUAUAUAUAAGCAUAUUAGAGUAAAGUAUAAACGUGAGUAGAAUACUUAGCUGGAUAAAUGGGGUUGCUCUCCCCCAAGCUGGAUUUUGACGUAAUUCCAUUUGAUGUAGCAGGUGGCGGAGGUGUACUUGAAUGUCGACAGCACCCUGACAGUGAUUAGGAUGUCCUCCGUCUGCUAGUCUUCUUUGAUCCUUGAAUUCUGUGGAGCUCAAAUAGACAACAAAGCUUUGUGGAACUGGUUAAGUGUUAGCAUAAAUAUCUAGCCUUUAUCAUGUUGAGCCUCCUCAAUAAAUGUUACUCUCUUUAGUAGGAUCAUAAAUUUAUUUUUAUAAUUUUAUUUUUAUAGGACAGGAAUAUAUUUAUUUUGUUUUUACACCACCAUAGUGAAUGUACUUAUGGGUUUUAUGCCAUGAGCAUACUCACAUGGGGCUUACUAUUUUUAACAAUUUUUUUUCUUUUUGAGAUGAUAUGAAACUGAUUAACUAAGCAAACUAUUUUAAAUAAUUGAGGAAAAAGAUAACUACCAAGUUUACCUCUUGGCAAGGCGUUCGGUGUUUUUAAGUCUUCCGAACGGGACUCUCCAUUCUCUCAGUCGUCCUGGAAUUCGCUGGAUUGCAUAGUCGGUGGUUCCGGCGGCGCCUGCUCUUCGUGUAUAGUUAUCUUCUCUCUACACACCUGACUCGGUGCUACGGUCUCCUCAGGACAGUUCUGUUCAAGCUUUAUAUCUUCAAACCUUACAACUUCUCCAUCAUAGUCUACCCAUCCGUCCUUGAUAAUUUUGCCUUCUCUGGUUGCGGUUGCGUCGUCUUCUUCUUGUCCUGACCUGCUUAGAGUCUUCAACUAUAUCGUUAGGGUCAGUAAAAUAGCGGCGUACCUUCUCAGAGGGGAAGUGCAUGUGGACUUCUCCGGUUCCAAUGUAGAUGAUUGCUUUAACGGUGUUGAGGAACGGUCUUCCAAGGAUGACGCAUUGUACUCGUCUUCUCCCAUGACAAUAACCUUCAAAUCAUCUGGAGCUGAAUGUAUUUUGGUUGUAGGGGCAUGGUUCUAAACAGGAGCUGAUAGGUGACUGCGGCCAUUGACAUCAGAUCCGGUGUCGUAGAGUGUCUUCUGAAAAGAAUAUCCGUUGAUUGUGCACUCGAUGCUUGGAACACCAGGGUCGUCCUUCUUCAACAAGAAAGGCGACUUUAGUUGACGAUCUUGACCUCCUUGAGCUGCAGUGACCAUCAUAGCUGACUCGGUACACAUUUGCUUGUUCUUGUUCCUCCUGUUGGCCCUCUUCCUUGGUUCAUGUCGGGAUUGCUCUGAGAUUUGUGUAGUCUUGUUCUUGAAGAAAAACGUCUCCUUCCUCCCCUUGAUGUAGAAACUGAUCUCGGCAGCACUAACGUAGAUGACACCUCCCGAGGUGUUUAGGAAUGGCCUCCCUAGAAUGAUGGGUAUAAUGUUGACGCUGGAGCCAAAGUCGCAGAGUGCUUCUAGGAAGUCCACCAUGCCGAUGGCGAUCGGGAUGACGGGACGUCCUGAAUUGUAUCUCUUGACCGGCAGAAGGUCAGUAAUUACUUCCACAACGGGGUUACUCCAGUAGUUAUGUCCUCAAGCAUCUCAGGGCAGUGAUUGCCUGAGUGUCUAGUCUCUCCAGUGUGUUUGUGCUCGUAGAUCUAGGUUCUUCACUUGGUGGAGUCUGGGAGUUGUAAAAGUCCUUCAUAUGCUGCUCGAAGUGUACCUGCUCAUAGAGACAGGGCAGAGAUCAAGUGCAUGGGCCCUGUUGGUGGAAAACACCAACAGAACCAAAAGUGUAUUUGUUCUUCUCUAACCUUAAGCAUAGUGAGCAAGACAAAGUUGAUGGAUAAUAAGAUCAUGAGUAUAACAUUUAAAACAUUUGUCAGAUCAAAUCGCUCAACCUAAUGGAAAGAUAAUCUAUCUAUA
rnacentral:lncRNA from 1 species